UACAGAGGUCCCAAGCGUUGUUCGGAUUUACUGGGCGUAAAGGGUGCGUAGGUGGCCAAAAAAGUCUGAUGUGAAAUCUCGGUGCUCAACUCCGAAACUGCAUUGGAAACUGGUUGGCUUGAGGUAUGGAGGGGAGAUUGGAAUUCUCGGUGUAGCAGUGAAAUGCGUAGAUAUCGAGAGGAACACCAGUGGCGAAGGCGAAUCUCUGGACAUUACCUGACGCUGAGGCACGAAAGCCAAGGGAGCAAACGGG
rnacentral:rRNA from 1 species